CAACUUUCAGCAACGGAUCUCUUGGCUCUCGCAUCGAUGAAGAACGCAGCGAAAUGCGAUAAGUAAUGUGAAUUGCAGAAUUCAGUGAAUCAUCGAAUCUUUGAACGCACCUUGCACUCCUUGGUAUUCCGAGGAGUAUGCCUGUUUGAGUGUCAUGA
rnacentral:rRNA from 1 species